rnacentral:rRNA from 1 species
GAUGAACGCUGGCGGCGUGCCUAAUACAUGCAAGUCGAACGCGCAGCGAAAGGUGCUUGCACCUUUCAAGCGAGUGGCGAACGGGUGAGUAACACGUGGAUAACCUGCCUCAAGGCUGGGGAUAACAUUUGGAAACAGAUGCUAAUACCGAAUAAAACUUAGUAUCGCAUGAUACAAAGUUAAAAGGCGCUACGGCGUCACCUAGAGAUGGAUCCGCGGUGCAUUAGUUAGUUGGUGGGGUAAAGGCUUACCAAGACGAUGAUGCAUAGCCGAGUGGAGAGACUGAUGGGGCACAUUGGGACUGAGACACGGCCCAAACUCCUACGGGAGGCUGCAGUAGGGAAUCUUCCACAAUGGGCGCAAGCCUGAUGGAGCAACGCCGCGUGUGUGAUGAAGGCUUUCGGGUCGUAAAGCACUGUUGUAUGGGAAGAAAUGCUAAAAUAGGGAAUGAUUUUAGUUUGACGGUACCAUACCAGAAAGGGACGGCUAAAUACGUGCCAGCCGCCGCCGUAA